GAAAUGCGAUAAGUAAUGUGAAUUGCAGAAUUCAGUGAAUCAUCGAAUCUUUGAACGCACCUUGCGCUCCUUGGUAUUCCUUGGAGCAUGCCUGUUUGAGUAUCAUGAAAUCUUCAAAGUAAAUCUUUUGUUAACUCAAUUGGUUUCUACUUUGGUAUUGGAGGUCUUUGCAGCUUCACACCUGCUCCUCUUUGUUCAUUAGCUGGAUCUCAGUGUUAUGCUUGGUUCCGCUCGGCGUGAUAAGUUAUCUAUCGCUGAGGACACUGUAAAAGGUUGCCAAGGUAAAUGCAGAUGAACCGCUUCUAAUAAUCCAUUGACUUGGACAAUACUUUUAUGAUCUGAUCUCAAAUCAGGUAGGACUACCCGCUGAACUUAAGC
rnacentral:misc_RNA from 1 species